UCAUGCUCUAAGCGAGAAGAAUCUGAAGCAUGAUCUGCAUAGUUCUCGAGAGCAUCUCCAUCCGCCGCACAUGAUGCACUAGUUGUGGACAAGUAAGCAAAAUCCUUCAUGGUGUGAUUCUGUGAACAAUCUUCAAGUCUUUUAUGCAUUUCUUCAGCAGAUAGUUGAACUGUUUUCUUUUGCCUGUGGGAAUGGAUGUGAGCUGGGAAGCAUGAAAACUUAAACAUCUUUAAAAAAGAAAAAGAAAUUGGGUUCACAUGAGAUUUAAUCACUUUCGAGAUAUUGAAGAUCUCUAAUAUUCUAAUAUUUUUCUAAACUGGUAAUCUGUAGAAUUUCAGCAAAAUAAGGUCACAUGACUGAAGGACUUAGCACAUGGCAAUCUUAGCCAUAAUCAAGUGUGAGCCCUGCUGAGACACGGCACAAUCUCCAGAUAUGUGAUGAUCUUGAUCUCCUCAAAACACAUAGUAAAAUCACCCCCUCGUUCUUGCCCCACACCCACUUAGAGGUGCGAGAGAAGCUGGAAGUUUUUAUAGCGGCCAGACUUGAAGAAGUUUGUCAAAAUCUAAAUGAACCCAAUGAUUGCUAUGCCCCAGAGAUACCAACCUGUUAAAAAGGAAAAAAUAAAUAAACCGAAACUGUGAUGA
rnacentral:misc_RNA from 1 species